AGCAAGCCAUGGACUCCAUUUACUUAUCCCAUUUCUCUGGCUUUCCACAUUUUUCUUCCUAUUCUUGUUUUUUGUCUCUUCAUUAUAUUUCUUCCUCUUGAUGGGUUUCCACCUCUAUGUAGUAUGUGUUUUCCUGACCUAUUCUAUUUCUGACCCUCACUCUGGGCAGUCCUGGCCUGCCAUCUUGGGAAGCUAUCUUUUUAGGAGCCAAGACCAGCUUGUGAGGAUGGAGGUCUGGGCUUUCAGAAGCUAUGCUGCAGAAACAAACACAGGCAAAAAAUUUUGGAUUUAGUAAAGGGGACAUAUUACCAGGUAGCCUGUCAAAAAUACUUUGAGAUGAUACACAAUGUGGUUGACUGUGGCUUUUCUUUGAAUCAUCCUAAUCAGUUCUUUUGUGAGAGCCAAUGUAUUCUAAAUGGUGGUAAAGACAUAAAGAAGGAACCUAUCCAACCAGAAACUCCUCAACCCAAACCAAGUGUCCAGAAAACCAAGGAUGCAUCAUCUGCUCUGGCCUCU